rnacentral:rRNA from 1 species
CAGUCGCCGCGGUAAUACGAAGGGUGCAAGCGUUACUCGGAAUUACUGGGCGUAAAGCGUGCGUAGGUGGUGGUUUAAGUCCGUUGUGAAAGCCCUGGGCUCAACCUGGGAAUUGCAGUGGAUACUGGGUCACUAGAGUGUGGUAGAGGAUAGUGGAAUUUCCGGUGUAGCAGUGAAAUGCGUAGAGAUCGGAAGGAACAUCUGUGGCGAAGGCGACUAUCUGGGCCAACACUGACACUGAGGCACGAAAGCGUAGGGAGCAAACAGGAUUAGAUACCCCCGUAGUCCCUGUCUCUUAUAC